rnacentral:rRNA from 1 species
CCYGUUYAUUAAAAACAUGGCUUAUUGGUAAUAAUUUUAAGUCUGGCCUGCCCAAUGAUGUGAUUUUUAAUGGCCGCGGUAAUUUGACCGUGCAAAGGUAGCAUAAUCAUUAGUUUUUUAAUUGAAAGCUUGUAUGAAGGGUUUGAUGAGAAAAUUUCUGUCUCUAUUUAAACUAAUUAGAAAUUUAUUUUUAAGUUAAAAAGCUUAAAUUAUUAUAGAAGACGAGAAGACCCUAUAGAGUUUUAUAAUAAUUUUUAUAGGAUAAAAUUGGUAAUUUAGUAAGGUAUAUUAUAUUGAUUAUUAUUUGGUUGGGGUGAUUGAAAAAUUUAUUAAACUUUUUUUGUAUGGGAACAUUUAUUUAUGAAAAAUUGAUCCUUUAAUUAAGAUUAAAAGAUAAAAUUACCUUAGGGAUAACAGCGUUAUUUUUUUUUAGAGUUCAAAUCGAAAAGAAAGAUUGCGACCUCGAUGUUGGAUUAAAAAAAAUUAUUGGUGUAGAAGCUAAUAAAUUAGGUCUGUUCGACCUUUAAAAUUUUACAUGAUCUGAGUUUAAACCGGUG